CUUUUGUGACUGAGUGGCGAACGGGUGAGUAACGCGUGAGUAACCUGCCCUAGAGUGGGGGACAACAGUUGGAAACGACUGCUAAUACCGCAUAAGCCCACGGUGCCGCAUGACACUGAGGGAAAAGGAUUUAUUCGCUUUAGGAUGGACUCGCGUCCAAUUAGCUAGUUGGUGAGGUAACGGCCCACCAAGGCGACGAUUGGUAGCCGGACUGAGAGGUUGAACGGCCACAUUGGGACUGAGACACGGCCCAGACUCCUACGGGAGGCAGCAGUGGGGGAUAUUGCACAAUGGGGGAAACCCUGAUGCAGCGACGCCGCGUGGAGGAAGAAGGUUUUCGGAUUGUAAACUCCUGUCGUUAGGGACGAUAAUGACGGUACCUAACAAGAAAGCACCGGCUAACUACGUGCCAGCAGCCGCGGUAAAACGUAGGGUGCAAGCGUUGUCCGGAAUUACUGGGUGUAAAGGGAGCGCAGGCGGGAAGACAAGUUGGAAGUGAAAACCAUGGGCUCAACCCAUGAAUUGCUUUCAAAACUGUUUUUCUUGAGUAGUGCAGAGGUAGAUGGAAUUCCCGGUGUAGCGGUGGAAUGCGUAGAUAUCGGGAGGAACACCAGUGGCGAAGGCGGUCUACUGGGCACCAACUGACGCUGAGGCUCGAAAGCAUGGGUAGCGAACAGGAUUAGAUACCCUGGUAGUCCAUGCCGUAAACGAUGAUUACUAGGUGUUGGGGGAUUGACCCCCUCAGUGCCGCAGUUAACACAAUAAGUAAUCCACCUGGGGAGUACGACCGCAAGGUUGAAACUCAAAGGAAUUGACGGGGGCCCGCACAAGCAGUGGAGUAUGUGGUUUAAUUCGAAGCAACGCGAAGAACCUUACCAGGUCUUGACAUCCGAUGCAUAGCACAGAGAUGUGUGAAAUCCUUCGGGACAUCGAGACAGGUGGUGCAUGGUUGUCGUCAGCUCGUGUCGUGAGAUGUUGGGUUAAGUCCCGCAACGAGCGCAACCCUUAUUGCCAGUUACUACGUUAAGAGGACUCUGGCGAGACUGCCGUUGACAAAACGGAGGAAGGUGGGGAUGACGUCAAAUCAUCAUGCCCUUUAUGACCUGGGCUACACACGUACUACAAUGGCGUUAAACAAAGAGAAGCAAGACCGCGAGGUGGAGCAAAACUCAAAAACAACGUCUCAGUUCAGAUUGCAGGCUGCAACUCGCCUGCAUGAAGUCGGAAUUGCUAGUAAUCGCGGAUCAGCAUGCCGCGGUGAAUGCGUUCCCGGGCCUUGUACACACCGCCCGUCA
rnacentral:rRNA from 1 species